GAGAGAGAGAGAGAGAGAGAGAGAAGGAUAAAAAAAGAAAAGAAACUUGGAUGAAGCUUCAAUACUUUUACCUGUCCAACAUGUCUAUAUGGUACAAUAAUAUAGAGAGCUGUUGGACUGUGAGA